rnacentral:lncRNA from 1 species
UAAAAGAAACUGCAGGAGUUGAAUUUACAAAAUAUGUCAUUCACUUGAACAAAUCUAUAGCAAUUGUUUUUUCUUCUCCUUCCUCUUUUUAUUCAUUUUCAUAUAUUUUUUAGAAGGAGUAUGUAUUGACAUGUAUUGACAUUCUUCUAUUUUUUUCAUUCAUUUUUUUCUUUUCUAUUUUUUUUUUCUUUUUCUGUCAACUUCUGAAAUAUUACAAACAUAAUUAUUCAAUCUCACACAACUCCAAACAAGACUCUUUCAACCAUUUGAAUAGGGUGAUAACAU